GGAUGACAGCAGCAGGUGUGGGUCUCAGAUGAGGUGGCAUAAGCAGGUGCAGGUCCCAGGCAGGAUGGGGGUAGCAAGUACAGGUCCCAGGCAGAGCUUCUGUCAUAAAGAGCAUGAGGACCUGGGUGCUGGGAUUGAGGGUGACAUCUUCCUCUUGUCACAGUCUGAGUCAUGAGUCAAGAGGCACUCGUUAUGUUCUUGGCUACUUAUCGUGUCACAAGCCUGAAGUCCCAAGCUGGGGCAGGAGGAUUGAGUCUUAGGCCAACCUGGACUACAUCUCCAAAAACCAAGUGAAAGACUUUUUUUUUAAAUUAAUAAAAUGGUCUAUUUUAGACAAAAGCAUGUUCAGGCAAGCUCCCCAACAAGACAGGACAAUGUCAAAGAAAUCCAACUGCAAGUCUUUUACCACCCCUCAGAGAAAGAGAACCCUUCACUAGAAGAGACAGAUGGAAGAGAACAGCACUCUGCUGGAGAAGGAUGAGAAGGACUCGGCAGCCAUGUGCUGUGAGGAAAGGCUACAGGGACAGGUGCCAGAAAUGCUGCUCCAGCAGAAAGACCAGGAGCAGAAUGCCAUCCUGGAUGCCCAGGUGGGUCUGAGCAUGCUCCUGAAGCCAGGGGUGCAUGAGGGAGCAGGGAUCAGAGUGUCACCUCUUGCAUUCUGCCCACUCUGCUUAGGCUCCUGAUGUUAGCAUAGACUGUGUAUGGACACUUGUGUCUGCCACAAGGUGUGCAGAAUCCUUGGCACCUGCCAGCUGAUGGUAGGAAUGUUAGCUGCCAUCCCACCCUGGUACCUAGCACAGCAACAGUAUCCCAUCAAGGGCAGAUCAGAGGGGAUCCUGUUACCUGGAUGAGAUGGCUAAGUCAGUCUCCAACCUUGUGCCUUUUCUGUGGCCAGGGAACCUGAGGCUGGAGGCUGUCAGCACCCUGUUGGCCGCAUUCUCAAUCUGCUAAGGAAUCUUGGGGCAAUUUUCCAAAGCUAAGCACAUGGCUUCCAUGACUGUACCCUUAACACAAAUGCUAGUGUAACCAUUCCCAUCUUCCGAGUGCCAGGGUUAAAGGCAUGUGUUACUACCACCUGGCAAUAGCUUCCAAAAUGUGCAUAAACCUUCAGAUUGUAAGCCAAGCCUGCUGAGCAAUUUUAGAGUGUUUUAUGAUCGGCUGUCUUUCAGGGAUUUGAAACCUAUGGGUCUCAAACUAAAUAUUCCCAAUUCAUAAGUGCUUGUAUGUAUGAAUAUCUGACAAUUUUCUCUCAAGUUUCAUAAAAUCUAGUGAAAUUAUACAUAAA